CAGUCGAGCGGUAGAGAGAAGCUUGCUUCUCUUGAGAGCGGCGGACGGGUGAGUAAUGCCUAGGAAUCUGCCUGGUAGUGGGGGAUAACGUUCGGAAACGGACGCUAAUACCGCAUACGUCCUACGGGAGAAAGCAGGGGACCUUCGGGCCUUGCGCUAUCAGAUGAGCCUAGGUCGGAUUAGCUAGUUGGUGAGGUAAUGGCUCACCAAGGCGACGAUCCGUAACUGGUCUGAGAGGAUGAUCAGUCACACUGGAACUGAGACACGGUCCAGACUCCUACGGGAGGCAGCAGUGGGGAAUAUUGGACAAUGGGCGAAAGCCUGAUCCAGCCAUGCCGCGUGUGUGAAGAAGGUCUUCGGAUUGUAAAGCACUUUAAGUUGGGAGGAAGGGCAGUUACCUAAUACGUGAUUGUUUUGACGUUACCGACAGAAUAAGCACCGGCUAACUCUGUGCCAGCAGCCGCGGUAAUACAGAGGGUGCAAGCGUUAAUCGGAAUUACUGGGCGUAAAGCGCGCGUAGGUGGUUUGUUAAGUUGGAUGUGAAAUCCCCGGGCUCAACCUGGGAACUGCAUUCAAAACUGACUGACUAGAGUAUGGUAGAGGGUGGUGGAAUUUCCUGUGUAGCGGUGAAAUGCGUAGAUAUAGGAAGGAACACCAGUGGCGAAGGCGMCCACCUGGAMUAAUACUGACWYUGAGGUGYGAAAGCGUGGGGAGCAAACAGGAUUAGAUACCCUGGUAGUCCACGCCGUMAACGAUGUCAACUAGCCGUUGGAAGCCUUGAGCUUUUAGUGG
rnacentral:rRNA from 1 species